rnacentral:rRNA from 1 species
AGACCCGAAACCCGGUGAUCUAGCCAUGGGCAGGUUGAAGGUUGGGUAACACUAACUGGAGGACCGAACCGACUAAUGUUGAAAAAUUAGCGGAUGACCUGUGGCUGGGGGUGAAAGGCCAAUCAAACCGGGAGAUAGCUGGUUCUCCCCGAAAGCUAUUUAGGUAGCGCCUCGUGAAUUCAUCUCCGGGGGUAGAGCACUGUUUCGGCUAGGGGGCCAUCCCGGCUUACCAACCCGAUGCAAACUGCGAAUACCGGAGAAUGUUAUCACGGGAGACACACGGCGGGUGCUAACGUCCGUCGUGAAGAGGGAAACAACCCAGACCGCCAGCUAAGGUCCCAAAGUCAUGGUUAAGUGGGAAACGAUGUGGGAAGGCCCAGACAGCCAGGAUGUUGGCUUAGAAGCAGCCAUCAUUUAAAGAAAGCGUAAUAGCUCACUGGUCGAGUCGGCCUGCGCGGAAGAUGUAACGGGGCUAAACCAUGCACCGAAGCUGCGGCAGCGAACGUAUCACCCAAGACAACUUUACGGAGUUGACGAUUGACGGAGCGAAGCGACGUCAAAGCGUUCAUUAAAGUCGAGUUGGCUUAGGGAUACGUUCGUUGGGUAGGGGAGCGUUCUGUAAGCCUGUGAAGGUGUGUCGUGAGGCAUGCUGGAGGUAUCAGAAGUGCGAAUGCUGACAUAAGUAACGAUAAAGCGGGUGAAAAGCCCGCUCGCCGGAAGACCAAGGGUUCCUGUCCAACGUUAAUCGGGGCAGGGUGAGUCGACCCCUAAGGCGAGGCCGAAAGGCGUAGUCGAUGGGAAACGGGUUAAUAUUCCCGUACUUGGUGUUACUGCGAAGGGGGGACGGAGAAGGCUAUGUUGGCCGGGCGACGGUUGUCCCGGUUUAAGCGUGUAGGUGUGUGUUCCAGGUAAAUCCGGUUCACUUUAACACUGAGGCGUGACGACGAGGCACUACGGUGCUGAAGCAACAAAUGCCCUGCUUCCAGGAAAAGCCUCUAAGCAUCAGGUAACAUCAAAUCGUACCCCAAACCGACACAGGUGGUCAGGUAGAGAAUACCAAGGCGCUUGAGAGAACUCGGGUGAAGGAACUAGGCAAAAUGGUGCCGUAACUUCGGGAGAAGGCACGCUGACACGUAGGUGAAGUGAUUUACUCAUGGAGCUGAAGUCAGUCGAAGAUACCAGCUGGCUGCAACUGUUUAUUAAAAACACAGCACUGUGCAAACACGAAAGUGGACGUAUACGGUGUGACGCCUGCCCGGUGCCGGAAGGUUAAUUGAUGGGGUCAGCGCAAGCGAAGCUCCUGAUCGAAGCCCCGGUAAACG